UUCCGGUUGAUCCUGCCGGACCCCACUGCUAUCGGGAUGGGACUAAGACAUGCUAGUCGUUCCAGCAAUGUGAAGCAUACAGCUCAGUAACACGUGGCUAACCUGCCCUUGGGACGGGAACACCCCCGGGAAACUGGGGCUAAUCCCCGAUAGGUGAAGAACUCUGGAAUGAGUCUUCGCCCAAAAGGCCUGGCGCCCAAGGAUGGGGCCGCGACCGAUCAGGUUGUUGGUGAGGUAACGGCCCACCAAGCCUAUAACCGGUGCGGGCCGUGAGAGCGGGAGCCCGGAGAUGGGCACUGAGACAAGGGCCCAGGUCCUACGGGGCGCAGCAGUCGCGAAACCUUUGCAAUACACGAAAGUGUGACAGGGUCAUCCCGAGUGCCGACCGCUGAGGUUGGCUUUUACCCAGUCUAGAAAGCUGGGGGAAUAAGGAGAGGGCAAGUUCUGGUGUCAGCCGCCGCGGUAAAACCAGCUCUCCGAGUGGUGUGGACGUUUAUUGGGCCUAAAGCAUCCGUAGCUGGCUGAACAAGUCCCCUGUUAAACCCACCGAUUUAAUCGUUGGAGUGCGGGGGAUACUGCUCGGCUAGGGGACGGGAGAGGCAGACGGUAUUUUCGGGGUAGGGGUGAAAUCCUAUAAUCCCGGGAGGACCACCAGUGGCGAAGGCUGUCUGCUAGAACGUGCCCGACGGUGAGGGAUGAAAGCUGGGGGAGCGAACCGGAUUAGAUACCCGGGUAGUCCCAGCUGUAAACGAUGCAGGCUAGGUGUUUGGGCGGCCACGUGCCGCUCUAGUGCCGCAGGGAAGCCAUUAAGCCCGCCGCCUGGGGAGUACGGCCGCAAGGCUGAAACUUAAAGGAAUUGGCGGGGGAGCACCACAAGGCGUGAAGCUUGCGGUUCAAUUGGAGUCAACGCCGGA
rnacentral:rRNA from 1 species